UUAAGAAAGGGAUCAGAGAAGAAAAUAUGAGAUAUGCACUUGGUAUGAUCAGCUGUUAUGAUCCGGCUACUCCCAAUAAUGAUACCCGUAUCGCCAUAGAAGAGGGAGUGAACUUCAUCGAACUAAUGCCAUAUAACUUCAAUUUUGGGACUGUCUAUGUCAAAGCUGCACUGGAUUAUGAGAUUCUUGUUAGCAAGAACCAACAGAAUUUGAAGACCAUUUCUCUGGCAUGUACCAGCGUUAAUGGAAAGGUCGUUGUGGAAUCCAAAAUGGUCAUUUAUUAUAUCAAUGACAACACCCAGUGUGGAUUGGACACUCCUACUCUGCAAGCAUUAAUGAGUUUCUCCCUGGUCCAUUGCCGAUGGCGGUGAUAAAUGAUCCACCAAUCAUUGUGGAGAACGGCGAUGGUGUAGACAACAGCAUUGUCACCCUGAACUGCACUGCAAUUAAGAUCUCCCUCAGUAAUAUUGUAGAGCCUUGCAUCAACGGCAAGUACUUCAACUUCCAAGCACACCCCUAUGGACAGAGUGACUAUCGCCGCUGGUAAUUUAACAUCACCGCAACCAGACUGACCUACACAGGGAUCACCUCGUUCAAAAUCAUCCUGAAUGCAGUUAAUGUUCCCAUGAAUGCAAAUGAGGUCACCUGUAUCUCAGAGACUGUAUCUCGGAUGUCAAAGACAUCCAGAAUAAGCCACCCAUUUUUUAUCAGAACACCCUCUCCUUCACCAUGUCUGAAGCCCGGCAACCAAGAGUCGAAGUUGAAGUGGGCAAAACUAUCUGCGCCUCAGAUCAGGACACUGGCACACCAAAUGCAAUCCGUUUUGAGCUUCUGCGAAACCCAGAUGGCCAUUGAGUAUGAUCCUGAGAACAGACCAAAUCACAAACCUAUGAACACAACUAACAUCGUGAGCAUCCAGAUCGAAGAUGUUAAUGACAUGCCGCCUCGAUUUAACCAGCCAGUGUACACGUACAGAAUAGAGGAAAAACAUCUUCACUAAUGACUACCAACAGCUGACCGGACAUGGCUUCCAGAUCGUCGUUUCUGAUGAUGACUCUUUCCUGUACAACAGCUUUGAGGUGUCGAUCAUCAGUGGUGGGCGUAAUACUGAUUUUUCUUUCUUCAACUUCACCAGAGGUCAAAGGUCACAGGCUUUCCUGCUUUAUGUCAGGUCACAGCUUAUCGACUUCGAACCAGGGGAGAAUAAUUAUUCUUUGACAUUACAAUCCCGUGAUACCCACAGACCAGAGCUGACUGCCACAGCUGUUGUGCGGGUAGAAGUGUCUGAUGUGAAUGACAAUUCCCCAGUGUUCCUCAAUUCCAGCUAAAUAACGGAUCCUCUCCAUCGGUCGGGCAUGCAGUAGGAGGGGCUGUAGGUGGAACUGUCCUGAUAGUCAUAGUGUUUGGGCUGUUCAUAUUUUUGAAGAAAUUUAAACGAGUAACGUCUCUGCUGUCAGUACAAGUUCCGAGUUUGAAGAGUACAGAGUUGAUUCCCAGAACAAAUGCCAGUAUGAAACACUCGCUGAAACUUCUUUUCAUGAAUAUUCGGCCAUAACACCAGGCGACACACAACAGCGAAAUGUUAUAGAAGGUGUAUUUGAUGUUUCAGUUAAUGAUUGUGGAACGGUGAAGGAAAAAAACACCUAUGUAAAUUUAGUAUUAUGAAACAAAUAAACUUAUAUGUACAUGUUGUUUUUGGAUUGACAACAUAAUGACAAAUGAAUCAUGCAAUUAAACAACUUACCAAAUGACUUAUGUUGAAUACCCUUUGUAUUGUUGUGUAUCUACAAAUAGUAUGUAUGUAUAUACUUUCCAUGAGAUGUUAAUAAUUGGUAUAAGACUCAAUGUAAUUGGUAACCACAAUUAUUAUAUAAUGAAACAUAUAGAGACAAUUAACGAAUCACGUUUUUAAUAUUAAGAUUAUGAACUCACAAUUCAGCUUUUUCCUAAACAAUACACAAAGUAUGAACCAGUAUAUAACAUGUGAAACAUAUAUAGUUUGACUUUUUUACACAAUUAUUUUUACCUGCCAAAAUGGAAUUAUUUUUUGUUAUUAUGUCCCCCACUAUAGAAGUGGGGGACAUAUUGUUUUUGCCCUGUCUGUUGGUUGGUUGGUUGGUCUGUUGGUUGGUUUGCGCCAACUUUAAUAUUUGCAAUAACUUUUGCAAUAUUGAAGAUAGCAACUUGAUAUUUGGCAUGCAUAUGUAUCUCAUGGAGCUGCACAUUUUGAGUGGUGAAAGGUCAAGGUCAUCCUUCAAGGUCAAAGGUCAAAUAUAUGAGUCAAAAUCGCUCAUUUAAUGUACACUUUUGCAAUAUUUCAAUAUUCAAGAUAGCAACUUGAUAUUUGGCAUGCAUGUGUAUCUCAUGGAGCUGCACAUUUUGAGUGGUGAAAGGUCAAGGUCAUCCUUCAAGGUCAGAGGUCAAAUAUAUGUUGCCAAAAUCGCUCAUUUUAUGAGUACUUUUGCAAUAUUGAAGAUAGCAACUUGAUAUUUGGCAUGCAUGUGUAUCUCAUGGAGCUGCACAUUUUGAGUGGUGAAAGGUCGAGGUCAUCCUUCAAGGUCAAAUAUAUGGGUCAAAAUUGCUUAUGUAAUGUCACUUCUGCAAUAUUGAAGCUAGCAAUUUUAUAUUUGACAUGCAUGUGUAUCUCAUGAAGCUGCACAUUUUGAGUUGUGAAGGCUCAAGGUCAAGGUCAUCCUUCAAGGUCAAACGUCAUAUACGGGGACAUUGUGUUUCACAAACACAUCUUGUUAAAAAAUAAGUUACCAACUACCAUCAUCACCGAGAAUAUUUAACACCCUAACAAUUAAGUUUUUUUGAAAGAAUAUCUUGAUGACACAGUUAUUGUCCUAUGACAUGGUUUAACACAAAUAUAUAUUGUGCCAGUGUUUGUUAGAUAAUCUAAUAUGUAAACACAGCAUUAGCUCUAUUUGAUUGUGCCUAUAAUUACAUCAUGUACCUUUAGUCGAUCAUUUUGUUUUGUUUUAUCUACGAAGUUUCUAUCAAUAUAAUAUUGACACUAGAAGUCUCUAAAAAUAAAUUCUACAUGUAAUGCUGGUGUGUGAAAUUUAUUUUAGCACCAGCUUUCGCUAGCUAAGAUCAUCGUAAUAAUAAUUUCAGUAUUCAUAAUUCAGUAUUGUAAUUGUAUCAUAAUAUGAGCGCAUUGAUUUGCUGAUUUGUAUCUUGCAGUAUACUGUUAAGACAUGGUGAAAAAGUUAACAAUUGCCUUAAUAAUAAUGUUAUUGCAAAGUCAUGCGGUAUGCUUAGGGUUCAUCUUAGUACAUCUCUUAUCUGUAUAAAUGCUAUGAAGUGAUACAGCUGUUCAGUCAUCAACAACAAUCAUAUGUGCUAAGUAAAUGUUUCAAGUGAUAGCACAGGAACUACUCAUAAUAAGUAGUCCAUUUACGAUAUUUCUGAUAUUUUCUUGUUCAAGUCUUUAUUCUGAAGUUUGUGUCAGUUAUUGUGAUACCUGUUUAAAGUUUUUUCAAUGGUGUUUGUUUUAAAUCUGGUUCAUAAGAUCAACGUUUUAUUCACUGCGAAAAUGUAAGGAUUUUGAAUCUUUGAAUAUUAAUGAGGUUAAUAAAGCAUGGGAGACAAAUUAUUUGAAAAACAAUUUAUGUAAGGCUGACACAGUUGAUACCCUUUGUUUGCAGAGUUUAACAUCACAGUAAGGCAUAUGUUUGGUGAAAUAUACUUAACUUAAAUAUAUGAUUUGUUUUCUUUUGUGUUCCAAUAAUUUUAUUUGAGUUGAGGCUUUUAUGUAUGAGAUAAUUGUGUUAUACACUAUUACUGUCAGAAGUUAAUUUUAGUGUUUCUAUCACAUUCCAUAAUGUGCUGUAUUUGUUAAUUGUUUGUAUAAAGUUAUGUUAAUUUCGUAUAAUAAAUAUUUUUAUAAAAUUA